rnacentral:rRNA from 1 species
AUGCUCUUCACCUCGGCAGUCGCCGUUGUCCUUGCCCUUUUCCCCGUCGCCGCUGUCGGCGCCGGCCUGAAAGUCGGGUUCUACAGCAAGAGCUGCCCGUCGGCAGAGAACCUGGUGCAGCAGGCGGUGGCUGCUGCCUUCAAGAACAACACCGGUGUCGCCGCUGGCCUCAUCCGGCUGCACUUCCACGACUGUUUUGUCAAGGGUUGUGACGGCUCAGUCCUGAUCGACUCGACAGCAAACAACACUGCUGAGAAAGACGCGCCCCCCAACAAGCCCAGCCUCCGUGGGUUCGAGGUGAUCGACGCGGCAAAGAAGGCCAUCGAGGCGAAAUGCCCCAAGACGGUCUCAUGCGCGGACAUUCUCGCCUUCGCCGCCCGUGACAGCGUCGCGCUAGCAGGAAAUGUUACCUACAAGGUGCCCGCCGGGCGCCGCGACGGCCGGAUUUCCACCAACGCGAGCGCCCUCAACAACCUACCGUCGCCGCUCUCAACGGCGUCCGAGCUGGUCGGCAACUUCACCCUCAAGAACCUCACGGCCGAGGACAUGGUCGUCCUCUCCGGCGCCCACACCAUUGGCGUCUCCCACUGCUCGUCCUUCACAAACAGGCUAUACGGCUUCAGCAACACCAGUCAGGUAUAA